rnacentral:rRNA from 1 species
CGCGCAGGCGGUCGGAUAAGUCGAAUGUGAAAGCCCCUGGCUCAACCAGGGAGGGUCAUUCGAUACUGUUCGACUCGAAGGCAGGAGAGGGAAGUGGAAUUCCGGGUGUAGUGGUGAAAUGCGUAGAUAUCCGGAGGAACACCAGUGGCGAAGGCGACUUUCUGGCCUGUUCUUGACGCUGAGGCGCGAAAGCUAGGGGAGCAAACG